GUAUUCACUUCAGCAGCACAUAUACUAAAAUUGGAACGAUACAGAGAAAAUUAGUGUGGCUCUUGCCUAAAGAUGACACACAAAUUUGUGAAGCGCUCCAUUUUAUU